rnacentral:tRNA from 1 species
AAGGCUUUAAGUUAACUUAAACUAUUAUCCUUCAAAGCUAAAAAUAUAAUUUUUAUAAGCCUUA